GGCUCAGAUUGAACGCUGGCGGCAUGCCUUACACAUGCAAGUCGAACGGCAGCACGGGAGCAAUCCUGGUGGCGAGUGGCGAACGGGUGAGUAAUAUAUCGGAACGUGCCUAGUUGUGGGGGAUAACGUAGAGAAAUUUACGCUAAUACCGCAUGAGAUCCAAGGAUGAAAGCGGGGGACUUCGCAAGAGGCCUCGCGCAACUAGAGCGGCUGAUAUCAGAUUAGGUUGUUGGUGAGGUAAAAGCUCACCAAGCCGACGAUCUGUAGCUGGUUUGAGAGAACGACCAGCCACACUGGGACUGAGACACGGCCCAGACUCCUACGGGAGGCAGCAGUGGGGAAUUUUGGACAAUGGGCGAAAGCCUGAUCCAGCAAUGCCGCGUGCAGGAAGAAGGCCUUCGGGUUGUAAACUGCUUUUGUACGGAACGAAACGGUUCGCUUUAAUACAGUGGGCUAAUGACGGUACC
rnacentral:rRNA from 1 species